AUUGAACGCUGGCGGCAUGCUUUACACAUGCAAGUCGAACGGUAACAGGCCGCAAGGUGCUGACGAGUGGCGAACGGGUGAGUAAUGCAUCGGAACGUGCCCAGUCGCGGGGGAUAACUACUCGAAAGAGUAGCUAAUGCCGCAUACGAUCUAUGGAUGAAAGCGGGGGACCGUAAGGCCUCGCGCGAUUGGAGCGGCCGAUGUCAGAUUAGGUAGUUGGUGGGGUAAAGGCUCACCAAGCCAACGAUCUGUAGCUGGUCUGAGAGGACGACCAGCCACACUGGGACUGAGACACGGCCCAGACUCCUACGGGAGGCAGCAGUGGGGAAUUUUGGACAAUGGGCGCAAGCCUGAUCCAGCAAUGCCGCGUGCAGGAAGAAGGCCUUCGGGUUGUAAACUGCUUUUGUACGGAACGAAACGGCUCUGGUUAAUACCCGGGGCUAAUGACGGUACCGUAAGAAUAAGCACCGGCUAACUACGUG
rnacentral:rRNA from 1 species